GAGAGAUUCAUGACAUGGUACGAGACCGUAAGACAUGGCACUUUUGAUUUCCAUAAAGAGAUGGAAUCAUACUGUGACAAUGACGUUGUUAUACUUCGUGAAGGAUGCCUCAGAUUCAGAGAAGAGGUAAUCAAAGAUGCGGGCAUUGACCCCUGGAGCUGUACAACUAUUGCAUCAGCGUGCAUGAAAACCUAUCGUACACACUAUCUAACUCCUGAAUCUAUAGCUAUCCCAUCGCCAGACAACUACCGACGCCAAUUCAAGGCCUACUCUAGUGGUUCCAUUCAAUGGUUGGAGUACUUGGCCCAGGAUAAAGAUAUUUUUAUCCAACAUGCUUUGAAUCGGGGGGAGAAGGCUUUUGGGCCUUACCAUGUAGAUGGAUACACACAGAUUGACGGGGUUGAGACAGUGUAUGAGUACAACGGUUGUUUCUUCCACGGUUGUAAAUUAUGCUUUGUCCCCCACACCUUGUGUGUCCUAACCCAAAAGACUUUUGGGGAAAUGUACCAAGAGUUUCAAGACAAACUGAAUUCUUUAAAGGCUACUUACGGGUUAAAAGUUGUGGUUUUGUGGGAGCACGAAUGGACAGCCCUCAAAAAGGCAGAUCCUAGUGUUAAGGCCUUCCUUACCCAUUAUGACCCUCCAGAGCCCCUGGAACCGCGACAGGCCUUGUUUGGAGGCCGGACCAAUGCUUUGACAUUGCGUUAUGUAGCUCAACCCGACGAGACAAUAGGCUAUGUAGAUUUUACAUCCCUAUAUCCUCAUGUAAUGAGUUCCUCAUUCUAUCCUAUAGGGCAUCCUGAAAUUAUUCACAGCGACUUUGACGAACCCCAAAAUUAUUUUGGUUUAAUCAAAGCGACUGUCUACCCUCCUAGGGGGCUGUUUAUACCUGUGUUGCCUUACAAGGGUCCUAAAGGAAAACUUUUCUUUCCCCUUUGUCGCACAUGCUGUGAAAACCACAACCAGGAAAACCCCUGUGAUCACACAGAUCAAGAAAGAGCCCUGACCGGUGUAUGGGUCACUGUAGAAUUCUCUAAGGCUUUAGAGAAGGGGUAUCGUGUGGCCAAAAUCUUUGAAGUGUGGAACUUUUCCAGGAAAUCAGACACACUUUUUAAAGAGUACAUCAAAACCUUCUUGAGAUGCAAGCAGAUGGCUUCAGGCUAUCCUGCAUCGGUCACAGAUCAAGAAAGUAAAGACCAGUACAUUCAAGACUACCAUGACAGAGAAGGCAUACUUCUUGACCCUGACAGAAUAGAGGUCAACAAAACCAAAAGAAAUGUGUCGAAAUUGUACUUGAACUCCCUUUGGGGGAAAUUAGCGCAGAGAUGCAAUAUGCUAACAACUUCGAUCAUUAAAGACCCCGAAGAAUUUUUGGAAUUUGUUUUUUCGGACCAAUACGAAAUUUCACAUUUUUCCUUCUUGAGUCAAGACAUUGCCUUGGUGCAAUGGAGGCGCCACCAAAAGUGGGUUCUACCCCCGGGUAAUGUAAAUGUGUUUCUUGCAGCAUUUACCACAGCCUAUGGCCGCCUUGAACUGUACACCCUCAUGGAACAGCUUCAGAGGCGGGUUCUUUACCACGACACAGACUCUGUGGUCUAUGUAAGCAAACCGGGGGAUUGGACCCCCCCACUUAGCAACUAUCUUGGGGGUUUAACG
ensembl:lncRNA